rnacentral:rRNA from 1 species
AUUGAACGCUGGCGGCAGGCUUAACACAUGCAAGUCGAGCGGAGAUGAGGUGCUUGCACCUUAUCUUAGCGGCGGACGGGUGAGUAAUGCUUAGGAAUCUGCCUAUUAGUGGGGGACAACAUUCCGAAAGGAAUGCUAAUACCGCAUACGUCCUACGGGAGGAAGCAGGGGAUCUUCGGACCUUGCGCUAAUAGAUGAGCCUAAGUCGGAUUAGCUAGUUGGUGGGGUAAAGGCCUACCAAGGCGACGAUCUGUAGCGGGUCUGAGAGGAUGAUCCGCCACACUGGGACUGAGACACGGCCCAGACUCCUACGGGAGGCAGCAGUGGGGAAUAUUGGACAAUGGGGGAAGCCCUGAUCCAGCCAUGCCGCGUGUGUGAAGAAGGCCUUAUGGUUGUAAAGCACUUUAAGCGAGGAGGAGGCUACUGAGACUAAUACUCUUGGAUAGUGGACGUUACUCGCAGAAUAAGCACCGGCUAACUCUGUGCCAGCCGCCGCCGUAA